GAUAAACGCUGGCGGCGUGCAUGAGACAUGCAAGUCGAACGGACGAUCGAGGCUUGCUUCGAUCGUUAGUGGCGGACGGCUGAGUAACGCGUAGGUGACCUGCCCCGAAGUGGGAUAACUGCCCGAAAGGGUGGCUAAUACCGCAUGUGGUGGUGUGUUCAAUCACACCAGUAAAGCCGCAAGGCGCUUCGGGAGGGGCCUGCGUCCGAUUAGCUCGUUGGUGGGGUAACGGCNCACCAAGGCGACGAUCGGUAGGUGGUCUGAGAGGACGAUCACCAGACUGGGACUGAGACACGGCCCAGACUCCUACGGGAGGCAGCAGUCGGGAAUUUUGCGCAAUGGACGAAAGUCUGACGCAGCAACGCCGCGUGA
rnacentral:rRNA from 1 species